CCUACGGGGGGCAGCAGUGGGGGAUAUUGCACAAUGGGGGGAACCCUGAUGCAGCGACGCCGCGUGGGUGAAGAAGCGCCUCGGCGCGUAAAGCCCUGUCAGCAGGGAAGAAAAUGACGGUACCUGAAGAAGAAGCCCCGGCUAACUACGUGCCAGCAGCCGCGGUAAUACGUAGGGGGCAAGCGUUAUCCGGAUUUACUGGGCGUAAAGAGCGCGCAGACGGCGAUGCAAGCCAGGGGUGAAAGCCCGGGGCCCAACCCCGGGACUGCACUUGAAACUGCGUGGCUGGAGUGCAGGAGGGGUAGGCGGAAUUCCUGGUGUAGCGGUAAAAUACGUAGAUAUCAGGAGGAACACCGGUGGCGAAGGCGACCUGCUAGACUGCAACUGACGUUGAGGCGCGAAAGCGUGGGGAGCAAACAGGAUUAGAUACCCCGGUAGUC
rnacentral:rRNA from 1 species